GGUGGUUCUCAGGUGACGCACCCCAGAAUCGGGCUCCCUCCUCUCUGGUUCCAGGCGUGUCACCCGAGAAUCGCA
rfam:Myotis brandtii contig157278, whole genome shotgun sequence.